rnacentral:sRNA from 1 species
ACAUAUAGUAAUGGCUUUACAAAAAAUAAUCUAAAAAAACAACUACAAUUACUAAAAAUGGAUUAUAACUACUUUUCCUGUUAAAACAUCAUCUCCAUAUGGAUAAGAGUUUAUGGAUAGUUAAACGGGAUUGCACAGAUUUGCGGUUUAGCAAGAUAUGCUAAUUAUAGACUAUUUUAACACAAUAAAUAAACAUAUAUACUUAUAUUUGGUACAUCAAGAACUAGGUUUACAGAAACGGAAAAACUUUUAUGGGAAUGUCUUACAAUAAGAAAUGAAA